AGAGUUUGAUCAUGGCUCAGAUUGAACGCUGGCGGCAGGCCUAACACAUGCAAGUCGAACGGUAACAGGAAUCAGCUUGCUGAUUCGCUGACGAGUGGCGGACGGGUGAGUAAUGUCUGGGAAACUGCCUGAUGGAGGGGGAUAACUACUGGAAACGGUAGCUAAUACCGCAUAAUGUCGCAAGACCAAAGAGGGGGACCUUCGGGCCUCUUGCCAUCGGAUGUGCCCAGAUGGGAUUAGCUUGUUGGUGGGGUAACGGCUCACCAAGGCGACGAUCCCUAGCUGGUCUGAGAGGAUGACCAGCCACACUGGAACUGAGACACGGUCCAGACUCCUACGGGAGGCAGCAGUGGGGAAUAUUGCACAAUGGGCGCAAGCCUGAUGCAGCCAUGCCGCGUGUAUGAAGAAGGCCUUCGGGUUGUAAAGUACUUUCAGCGGGGAGGAAGGGAGUAAAGUUAAUACCUUUGCUCAUUGACGUUACCCGCAGAAGAAGCACCGGCUAACUCCGUGCCAGCAGCCGCGGUAAUACGGAGGGUGCAAGCGUUAAUCGGAAUUACUGGGCGUAAAGCGCACGCAGGCGGUUUGUUAAGUCAGAUGUGAAAUCCCCGGGCUCAACCUGGGAACUGCAUCUGAUACUGGCAAGCUUGAGUCUCGUAGAGGGGGGUAGAAUUCCAGGUGUAGCGGUGAAAUGCGUAGAGAUCUGGAGGAAUACCGGUGGCGAAGGCGGCCCCCUGGACGAAGACUGACGCUCAGGUGCGAAAGCGUGGGGAGCAAACAGGAUUAGAUACCCUGGUAGUCCACGCCGUAAACGAUGUCGACUUGGAGGUUGUGCCCUUGAGGCGUGGCUUCCGGAGCUAACGCGUUAAGUCGACCGCCUGGGGAGUACGGCCGCAAGGUUAAAACUCAAAUGAAUUGACGGGGGCCCGCACAAGCGGUGGAGCAUGUGGUUUAAUUCGAUGCAACGCGAAGAACCUUACCUGGUCUUGACAUCCACGGAAGUUUUCAGAGAUGAGAAUGUGCCUUCGGGAACCGUGAGACAGGUGCUGCAUGGCUGUCGUCAGCUCGUGUUGUGAAAUGUUGGGUUAAGUCCCGCAACGAGCGCAACCCUUAUCCUUUGUUGCCAGCGGUCCGGCCGGGAACUCAAAGGAGACUGCCAGUGAUAAACUGGAGGAAGGUGGGGAUGACGUCAAGUCAUCAUGGCCCUUACGACCAGGGCUACACACGUGCUACAAUGGCGCAUACAAAGAGAAGCGACCUCGCGAGAGCAAGCGGACCUCAUAAAGUGCGUCGUAGUCCGGAUUGGAGUCUGCAACUCGACUCCAUGAAGUCGGAAUCGCUAGUAAUCGUGGAUCAGAAUGCCACGGUGAAUACGUUCCCGGGCCUUGUACACACCGCCCGUCACACCAUGGGAGUGGGUUGCAAAAGAAGUAGGUAGCUUAACCUUCGGGAGGGCGCUUACCACUUUGUGAUUCAUGACUGGGGUGAAGUCGUAACAAGGUAACCGUAGGGGAACCUGCGGUUG
rnacentral:rRNA from 2 species